UACGUAGGGUGCGAGCGUUAAUCGGAAUUACUGGGCGUAAAGCGUGCGCAGGCGGCUGUGCAAGACAGGUGUGAAAUCCCCGGGCUUAACCUGGGAACUGCACUUGUGACUGCAUGGCUGGAGUACGGCAGAGGGGAUGGAAUUCCGCGUGUAGCAGUGAAAUGCGUAGAUAUGCGGAGGAACACCGAUGGCGAAGGCAAUCCCCUGGGCCUGUACUGACGCUCAUGCACGAAACGCGUGGGGAGCAAACAGG
rnacentral:rRNA from 1 species